rnacentral:rRNA from 1 species
AGGGUUCGAUCAUGGCUCAGAUUGAACGCUGGCGGUAUGGCUAAAACAUGCAAGUCGAGCGCGAACGUCCUUCGGGACUAUUAGAGCGGCGCAAGGGCGAGGAAUCCAUUCCUACGUACCCCAAGGUCGAGGAUAGCUCAGGGAAACUUGAGGUAAUACUCGAUGUGGUGCUUCGGCAUCAAAGGCUUGCUGCCUUGGGAGCGGGGAAUGACCUAUCAGGUUGUUGGUGAGGUAACGGCUCACCAAGCCUUAGACGGGUAGCGGGUGUGAGAGCACGACCCGCCGCAUCGGGACUGAGACACUGCCCGGACUCCUACGGGAGGCUGCAGUAACGAAUCUUCCGCAAUGCACGAAAGUGUGACGGGGCAAUACCGCGUGUGGGAUGAAGCCCUUCGGGGUGUAAACCACUGUCAGGGUUCAGGAAAAAAAUGACCAGACCCAAAGGAAGGGCCGGCUAACUCUGUGCCAGCAGCCGCGGUAAUACAGAGGGCCCGAGCGUUAAUCGGAAUCACUGGGCUUAAAGCGUACGUAGGCGGACAUGUAGGCAUUUUGUGGAAUCCCUCGGCUCAACCGGGGAAUUGCAGAGUGAACCACAUGUCUUGAGGCGAGUAGAGGCGGUCGGAACGAUAGGUGGAGCGGUGAAAUGCGUAGAUAUCUAUCGGAACGCCAAAGGUGAAGACAGGCCGCUGGGCUCGUCCUGACGCUGAGGUACGAAAGCGUGGGUAGCGAACGGGAUUAGAUACCCCGGUAGUCCACGCCGUAAACGAUGCACACUAGGUCGGGGAGGUUUGACGCCCUCCUGGCCGAAGCAAAAGUGUUUAGUGUGCCGCCUGGGGAGUACGGUCGCAAGGCUAAACUCAAAUGAAUUGACGG